rnacentral:tRNA from 2 species
GAGGCCCAGGACACCGCCCUUUCACGGCGGUAACAGGGGUUCGAAUCCCCUAGGGGACGCCA